GAAGGGUUUGCUGAAUGUGUAGCAGAGCUGCCCCCAAUGAAUGAUGGAGGGAGGGUUCCACCCUCCCAGCUGAGACAAGCUAUUGCAUCAGGCGCCGCUCGUGCAGGAGGAGAAACCCGUGUGUCGUUUAUUACAAGGUCAUCGAUCCCAACCUGCCUGCUGUUUACUAUAAGGUCAUCAUCGCCAGCGCUGGGGCUCUCCCCGCCUGGACGUGGGAAUCCCUCUGACACAGCCUUUUCCUCGUCUUCCCCAGGCCCUGCCCCGGGAGAAGCCGGCCUGCGCACACCGCGGAGUCCUCCAGCGCAGGAACCCUCCCUCCCUCCCUCCGGCAAAAUCAAGUUUCAGAAAGUUCCAUUCGGAGGGCCGGCUUCGCCAGGAACCCGGCAGCAUGCACAGUUUCCCGGGCUCGCUCACUCCCAAGGGCCCUUUCGGAACCCGACAGAGAGAAGGACCAAGAACUCCCAUCGUUAUCAGAAAGGGGCCCCGUCAACACCUCCCACACCCACGUUCCAACUUUUUUUCCCCUUAUAAUCUUCUCGGCCUGUCAUUCGGCUAAGCAAGGAAUGCAGGAAGAUGUCCAGGAGGACACACGCUGGAGAUUAAAGGCAGGAACCGGCAGCCCCGGCUGACCAGGCAGCUCUCCCCCGGGGCGCACAAAGCCCGCAGCCCAGGGUCAUCAAACACCAAGUCGUGUAGGGACUUAAGAGUCAGUGCUGCUCCAGCUCAGCCGUCCCUCAGAGGAAGAAACAGGCUGGAGAGUUACAGGGAACAGACACCAGCCCAGCCAAUGCAUCGACACCCAGCUUUCCUUUCUCCAUCCACCUUCCACAUGUUCCUGAUGUAGCCACCAUCACAUCUCUCCUCCACCUGGCCCUGGAUUCCAGCUGGACCAAGAACCUUUUCAGACCCAGUUAGGAGUCUGAAUGCUUGGACAUCUUAAUUCCAGGAUAACCUACUGUGGAUCCUGGAGUCAAAGGAGCAAUAGAACACCAGACUCUGUAUUGAGGGAGCUGCUCUGGACUUUCCAUGUCUCUCGGGGGCCUCAAGUUUCCUGGAAAGAGAGUCUAUGUUUACCAAUCAUGAGGAAAAAACUAAAAUGCAUUAGCUAACAAAGGCUAAUGUCAACUAUUUUGAUUUUGCUUUCUAUAGAAGAAAUGUCGGAGAGGCAUCAUGCUUGAGUUUAUCCUCCCAAGAGAAUGAAUGUCUGACUUCACUCACUCAACAUGAAGAUCAAAGGAGCCAAAUGCUAGCACAGCCAAGUGUGAUCACCGCUAACCCUACACUCUUUACCAUGGGAAAACCCAGCCACCCUGUCCACCAUGGGUUUCAAAUUAAAAUAUGACCCAUCUCUGGAAAUGUCUAUUUCUUUUUUAUAAACUAUCCAUAUUCUCUAGGUUCUUCUGGCCCUUGGGUCUUUGUGUGGCUAUUAAAAAGAUUUUAUCUUGACUUAAUGACCCCAUCCAUAUACCCUCCUGCCUUGAGCGAUGUGGAGUUCAGGUGAAAUGCUUUCUGGAGGUCUGCCUAAAACCAACUUGACAGUAAGGCAACCUUUCGGACCUCACGGACCACCAGUGGUCUGCGGACCACCGGUUGGCAACCGCUGGUCUAAAAGGAACAAAAAAAAAAAGUUGCCUCUUUGAGAACUCUUUAAUAGUAAUGUAAAGGGAAGGAAAGAAUUCUUGGUCACACCCUUGAGGGCUCAGUGACCUGAAGGCUGUGCCUGCUGGUGUAGUGCUGCCACCUUGUGGAAAUGAUGAUUUAGGACACUGUGUCCAUCAAGACCAGUUCCAAGACAGACAUUCCCUGGGAUGGAAGAGGGAGAGAUUACUUGGAAAGAAAUUUGCAAGGAUUUACAAGUCUUGCAUUCUCAGGUAGGGACAAGAGUUAUAACUGCUACAAGACUCCCUAAUUCUCCCCACAUCCUGGUAAAGGCUGGAAAAACCCGGUUAUGUAUAUUUUCCUAUACUUAUAAGAAUGUUUUCUUUUAUACUGUAUUAUAGGUAAAACCUCGAUCUCACAGACUAAUUCGGGUGAGGGGGUGUCCUUUAAAGCUGAAAGUCCAUUAUAUAAUAAAAGAGGUUUCCCACAUGCGUAUGUUAAAAAAUUGGCAAAUUAGUUUGCCUGUUUUUACUUAUGAAGACAGGCUUGUGUAAUUAAAUUUAAGUCUGUAGAAAAGUUUAAUUUCACAGAAGAGUUUUUUUAUAUGUAUUACUGCCGUGAAUAAACAAGGAAAAUCGGUCGUUUUCUUUUUUGUGCCUAUCUUCCUUUAUGUCAGACCCAACCACAAAAAAUCACACUUGCUUUUACAACUACAUCAGGCUCCAUGGAAUGAGUAUUCAUCUCAAGUAUGAAAUCUGGGCCAGCCUGACACCGCCCGUGUGGGCCAACUGCUGAUGGGAGUGCAGAGCUGAGGAUGGCUCAGGCUUGGAAAAGGACUCCCUGCUGUCAAAAUGAUUUGCAACAACUAUACUGAGGAAGAGGGGCACGCUAGCUAUCAGAGGAAAGUACGUUAAGAGAAAAAUCAACAAGCCUUAUAUGUAUUCUGCGACAAACAUAUUGCAAAAAUGGGAAACCCACAGGCUCGCACUGCCCUGGGCUCUCCAAAGGCCCACCAGGCACUGAGUCACUGUGUCUCCUUGCAGAAGGAGAGAUCCUAUUCUCCUUGGGAGCUUACCUUCUCUCUGCACCGAUUCUGUUUGCACAUUGGGAAAUCUGAAACUUCACUGCAAAAUGGGUACCUUUUCUCCCUUACACAAUAGAGGCCAUUCAUCUAUUCAUCCUUUCACUCAGUUAUGGAAUUAUUUAGUGACUCAUGUAAUGCCUACUCAGUAAUGGGACAGGUAUGUACUAUGUACUGGGAAGAAAGAGAUGACUACCCCUCAGUAUUGAGCAGAAGCAAAAUGGCCUGCUCACUCGUGGUAAACACCCAAUAAAUACUUGUUGAAUGAAUGAUAAUUCCUGCCCUCUGUAAUAAUCCUGGUCUAGUAGGGGAAGGAAACAUGUCAACAAAUAAAUUGUUUUAAUGAAAUAGUAGUCAAUCAAGUAUUAUAAAUAUAGAAGACUAUUUACCUGGAAGUUAGGGAUGGGUUUGAUAGAAGAGGUAACAUUUAUUUAAUUUUGAUGAAUAAAUAAGAAAUUUCCAGCAAAGUUAAAAAGGCAGUCUUUACAGGCAGACCAGAACUACUCACAGUUCCUAUUUUUUAGCAGGAUUACUUCCAUUCCGGUUUAGUCCUAUUUUGCUGACAUAAAUAUUAACAACUAUUUUGCUAGGUUUCAGUCUUUUGAGUUUAUUUUUACUUUUGUUCCCUAGGCAUUGGGAGGUCAGCAAAGUUAUAUGCAAAACAACUCUACAAAACAGAUUAUUUUUGACAGAGUGGAUGAAAUUAUUUAAAG